CUACGGGUGGCUGCAGUUACGAAACCUUUACAAUGCGCGCAAGCGUGAUAAGGCAAUCCUAAGUGCUCACUUUUAGUGGGCUUUUGCUAAGUCUAAAAAGCUUAGAGAAUAAGCGGUGGGCAAGACCGGUGCCAGCCGCCGCGGUAACACCGGCGCCGCGAGUGGGGAUCACAGUUAUUGGGCCUAAAGCAUCCGUAGCUGAUUUAGUAAGUCUUUUGUGAAAUUGUUAUGCUCAACAUAACAGCUUGCAAAAAAUACUACUAAAUUAGAGACCAGGAGGAGACAGGGGUAUUCCUUGGGAAGCGGUAGAAUGUUUUAAUCCUUGGAAGACCACCUGUGGCGAAGGCGCCUAUCUAGAAUGGGUCUGACAGUGAGGGAUGAAAGCUGAGGGAGCGAACUGGAUUAGAUACCCCCGUAGUC
rnacentral:rRNA from 1 species